rnacentral:lncRNA from 1 species
CCAUAAAACAACCGAAGUUUUAACAUUGUUUGCAAUCAUAGAAGAAGCAACAUUAUUAGAGAUAGAGUUAAGAGAAGUGUCUUCAAGCACGUAGAGAUCAUCUUUAGUGCCACCUUGUCCGAACACAUUACCACUCUUAAUAUCCUGCAAUUUCACAUCAUUAGGACUAAAAAUAGCAAGGCAAUUUAAAUCUCUAGUAGUCUUCUUAACUGAGAGCAAAUUCGAAGUAAACUUAGGCAUAUAAAAGGCACUAGACCGUUUACUAAAUAGGUUUAUACUACAUAUUCCUUCAAUCGGCACAUUAUGACCAUUCGCAACUUUAACACUCCCUAAAGCCGGUUUAAUGUUCUCUAACAACUUAGGAUUACUUAUCAUAUGGUGAGAAGCUCAUGAGUCUAAUACUAAUGACUUUGAAUCAUAAGAAUUAGAAGUAAAGAGAGAGGUACCGCCGGGACUGAAUUUAGAUGCGAUGGAGUGAAUGAGAGCUUCGAGGUCCGCCUUGUUCAUCAC